rnacentral:rRNA from 1 species
AGUCGAACGCGAAAGGGGCUUCGGUCCUGAGUAGAGUGGCGAACGGGUAAGUAACACGUGGGUGAUCUACCUUCGAGUGGGGGAUAACGUUCCGAAAGGAACGCUAAUACCGCAUGACGUUCCGGGUUUGAAGACCUGGAAACCAAAGCCGGAGACCACAAGGCCUGGCGCUUGAAGAGGAGCCCGCGUCCGAUUAGCUAGUUGGCGGGGUAAUGGCCCACCAAGGCGACGAUCGGUAGCCGGCCUGAGAGGGCGGACGGCCACACUGGAACUGAGACACGGUCCAGACUCCUACGGGAGGCAGCAGUGGGGAAUUGUUCACAAUGGGCGCAAGCCUGAUGACGCAACGCCGCGUGGGGGAUGAAGGUCUUCGGAUCAUAAACCCCUGUCGAAUGGGACGAAAGACUCGCGAUUUAAUACUGCGCGAGAGUGACGGUACCGUUAAAGGAAGCCACGGCUAACUCUGUGCCAGCAGCCGCGGUAAUACAGAGGUGGCAAGCGUUGUUCGGAAUUACUGGGCGUAAAGGGCGAGUAGGCGGCCUUCUAAGUCAGACGUGAAAUCCCCCGGCUUAACCUGGGAACUGCGUCUGAUACUGGGAGGCUCGAGUAUGGGAGAGGGAUGUAGAAUUCCAGGUGUAGCGGUGAAAUGCGUAGAUAUCUGGAGGAAUACCGGUGGCGAAGGCGGCAUCCUGGACCAUUACUGACGCUGAAUCGCGAAAGCUAGGGGAGCAAACGGGAUUAGAUACCCCGGUAGUCCUAGCCCUAAACGAUGAAUACUUGGUGUGGCGGGUAUCGAUCCCUGCCGUGCCGAAGCUAACGCAUUAAGUAUUCCGCCUGGGGGAGUACGGUCGCAAGGCUGAAACUCAAAGGAANUUGACGGGGGCCCGCACAAGCGGUGG